UACGGGGGGUCAAGCGUUGUUCGGAAUUACUGGGCGUAAAGGGCUCGUAGGUGGCCAACUAAGUCAGACGUGAAAUCCCCAGGCUUAACCUGGGAACUGCGUCUGAUACUGGAUGGCUUGAAUUCGGGAGAGGGAUGCAGAAUUCCAGGUGUAGCGGUGAAAUGCGUAGAUAUCUGGAGGAAUACCGGUGGCGAAGGCGGCAUCCUGGACCGAGAUUGACACUGAUGAGCGAAAGCUAGGGGAGCAAACGGG
rnacentral:rRNA from 1 species